CCUACGGGUGGCAGCAGUGAGGAAUAUUGGUCAAUGGGCGCGAGCCUGAACCAGCCAAGUAGCGUGAAGGAUGACUGCCCUACGGGGUGUAAACUGCGUUUAUAAAGGAAUAAAGUGAGGCACGUGUGCCUUUUUGUAUGUACUUUAUGAAUAAGGAUCGGCUAACUCCGUGCCAGCAGCAGCGGUAAUACGGAGGAUCCGAGCGUUAUCCGGAUUUCGUGGGGUUAAAGGGAGCGUAGAUGGGUUGUUAAGUCAGUUGUGAAAGUUUGCGGCUCAACCGUAAAAUUGCAAUUGCUACUGGCAGUCUUGCGUCCAGUUGCGGUAGGCGGAAUUCGUUGUGUAGCGGUGACCUGCUUAUAUCUCAC
rnacentral:rRNA from 1 species